UCAACAAAUCAAUAUAGUAUCAAAGUAAUAAUUUUUUCUUUGUUCAAGUGUCUCUUUCUUCGGCUUUUCUCAAGUUUUUCUUUUCAGUUCUCUCACGCAUAUGCAUUCUUCCCUUUUCUAUUUUUUUUUUUUACCUUCUCUUCCAAACUCUAACUAUGGCAGCAGAGUCAUCUGCUAACCCUAAAGCAUAAAUCUAACAAAUGAUUACCUUAUUAAUCCAUCCAAUUCUUUUUUUUCUUUAUCCAAAUGAAAAUUUGACACUAAUUCUAGUGUUUUUAGUUCUUUCUAGAUCAAACUAUCACUCUUGGACUAGAGCGAUGAAAAUGGCAUUACAGUCAAAGAACAAAAUCAAAUUCAUUGAAGGCAUUAUCUGGAUCGACGUUGCGGCUGAUGCAUGACAAGUUUUCAAUUUCUGUCCACUAUCAAAAGGAGAAGCUCCCACUAUCAAAUCCAAUCAGAAGCAAACAUCAUGGCUCGACGAUGCAAGUUGCAGAAAGGGAAUUCCAUCAAUAUUAACUUGGAAAAUGAGACUGAAAAUAAUAUUAACCAGAACUUUUAAGAAACUCAAGAGUUACACCAAAAUCAGGCUUCAAAUUUUC